rnacentral:rRNA from 1 species
AGCAGCCGCGGUAAUUCCAGCUCCAAUAGCGUAUAUUAAAGUUGUUGCAGUUAAAAAGCUCGUAGUUGAAUUUCGGGGUCAGUAGGUCGGUCGUGCCACUGGUAUGAACUGGUUUUACUGAUUCCUCCCUCUUGAAGAACUGUAAUGCCAUUAAUUUGGUGUUGCAGGGAAUCAGGACUGUUACUUUGAAAAAAUUAGAGUGUUUAAAGCAGGCUUUAGCUUGAAUACAUUAGCAUGGAAUAAUGAAAUAGGACGUUUGAUCCUAUUUUGUUGGUUUCUAGGAUUGACGUAAUGAUUAAUAGGGAUAGUUGGGGGCAUUAGUAUUCAAUUGUCAGAGGUGAAAUUCUUGGAUUUAUUGAAGACUAACUACUGCGAAAGCAUUUGCCAAGGAUGUUUUCAUUAAUCAAGAACGAAAGUUAGGGGAUCGAAGACGAUCAGAUACCGUCGUAGUCUUAACCAUAAACUAUGCCGACUAGGGAUCGGAUGAUGUUAAUUUUUAAUGACUCAUUCGGCGCCUUAC